rnacentral:lncRNA from 1 species
AGGGAGAGGAAGCGGUGAGGUCAGGAAGGGAGGGGAGCAGGCAGGGCCUCUCAUUUGGGCCUGGACCAUAGUGUGCUCUGUGGCUUUUCUUCUGAGCUGAUGGGGGAGUUAGGGAUCAUUUUUGAUCCCACGAUGGGAUUUAUAUAUGGAGGGGGUCCCUCCAGCUGUGUGGGCAAGAGGUGGCCGGGUGAGCAAGCACGUCCAGCUGGCCAUGCAGCGGGUGUCUGUGCCGAGACCAUUCCUGGCUCCCACUCGGGAAAUGUCCCCACUGCUGGCCCAGAGGUGGCAUUGGGAGCGACAGACUGUCCGCCCUGAGUCCAGCUGUGCACGAGCCCUCCACGCUGCAAUUGGCAGCCUCGAGCAGC